UACGUAGGCAGCGAGCGUUGUUCGGAGUUACUGGGCGUAAAGGGUGUGUAGGCGGUUGUUUAAGUUUGGUGUGAAAUCUCCCGGCUCAACUGGGAGGGUGCGCCGAAUACUGAAUGACUAGAGUGCGGGAGAGGAAAGUGGAAUUCCUGGUGUAGCGGUGAAAUGCGUAGAUAUCAAGGAGGAACACCGGUGGUGUAGACGGCUUUCUGGACCGUAACUGGACGCUGAGACACGAAAGCGUGGGUAGCAAACAGG
rnacentral:rRNA from 1 species